ACGCACGUGUGAAACUUGAAGGAAUUGACGGAAGGGCACCACAAGAACGCGUGGAGCAUGUGGCUUAAUUUGACUCAACGCGGGAAAACUUACCGGGUCCGGACACACUGAGGAUUGACAGGCGACCAUUUAGAAAAUAUGCUAGUCCUUUCAUGAUUGUGUGAUAGGUGGUGCAUGGCCGUUCUUAGUUCGUGGAGUGAUCUGUCUGCUUAAUUGCGUUUCAGAUAAAAUUGGAGGUAAAGUGUAUAUGUUGUGUUUUUUUCUUCUUUUAUUUUUUAAUUAAGAUAUUAGAGGAAGCCAACUGAGCACUCCUCCAUUGAAAGCAACGAACGUGACCG
rnacentral:rRNA from 1 species